GGCAACCCUGAUCCAGCCAUUCCGCGUGAGUGAAGAAGGCCUUCGGGUUGUAAAGCUCUUUCGCAAGAGAAGAAAUCUUACUAUCAAAUAAAUAGUAAGGAUGACGGUAUCUUGACAAGAAGCACCGGCUAACUAUGUGCCAGCAGCCGCGGUAAUACAUAGGGUGCGAGCGUUAAUCGGAAUUACUGGGCGUAAAGGGUGCGCAGGCGGUUUUGUAAGUCAGAUGUGAAAUCCCCGAGCUCAACUUGGGAACUGCGUUUGAAACUACAAGACUAGAGUGUGUCAGAGGGGGGUAGAAUUCCA
rnacentral:rRNA from 1 species